UACGAAGGGGGCUAGCGUUGUUCGGAAUUACUGGGCGUAAAGCGCACGCAGGUUGAUUUAUAAGUCAGGGGUGAAAUCCCGGGUCUCAACCUCGGAAUUGCCCUUGAUACUGUCUAUCUUGAGUCCGGGAGAGGUGAGUGGAAUUCCUAGUGUAGAGGUGAAAUUCGUAGAUAUUAGUAAGAACACCAGUGGCGAAGGCGGAUCACUGGCCCGGUACUGACGCUCAUGUGCGAAAGCGUGGGGAGCAAACAGG
rnacentral:rRNA from 1 species